GGUUAGAGCGCACCCCUGAUAAGGGUGAGGUCGGCAGUUCAAGUCUGCCCAGACCCACCAUUCUCUCGNNNNNNNNNNNNNNNNNNNNNNNNNNNNNNNNNNNNNNNNNNNNNNNNNNNNNNNNNNNNNNNNNNNNNNNNNNNNNNNNNNNNNNNNNCCCUCGAGGAAAAGAAAUCAACCGAGAUUCCCCCAGUAGCGGCGAGCGAACGGGGAGUAGCCCUUAAGCAGGUGACCGGUUAGGCGAAUGAGCUGGGAAGCUCAGCGAUACAGGGUGAUAGCCCCGUAGCCGAAAACCUGAUCCUGUGAAAUCGAGUAGGUCGGGGCACGUGAAACCUUGACUGAAGACGGGGGGACCAUCCUCCAAGGCUAAAUACUCCUGGCUGACCGAUAGUGAACCAGUACCGUGAGGGAAAGGCGAAAAGAACCCCGGCGAGGGGAGUGAAAGAGAUCCUGAAACCGUAUGCGUACAAGCAGUGGGAGCACGCUUUGUCGUGUGACCGCGUACCUUUUGUAUAAUGGGUCAGCGACUUAUUUUCAGUGGCGAGCUUAACCGACUAGGGGAGGCGUAGGGAAACCGAGUCUUAACGGGGCGACCAGUCGCUGGAAAUAGACCCGAAACCGGGCGAUCUAUCCAUGAGCAGGGUGAAGGUUGAGUAACAUCAACUGGAGGCCCGAACCAGGAUCUGUUGAAAAAGAUUUGGAUGACUUGUGGAUCGGAGUGAAAGGCUAAUCAAGCCCGGAGAUAGCUGGUUCUCCUCGAAAGCUAUUUAGGUAGCGCCUCACGUAGCACCGCCGGGGGUAGAGCACUGUUUCGGCUAGGGGGUCAUCCCGACUUACCAACCCGAGGCAAACUCCGAAUACCGGUGAGUGACGCGUGGGAGACACACAGCGGGUGCUAACGUCCGUUGUGAAAAGGGAAACAACCCAGACCGUCAGCUAAGGCCCCGAAAUCCUGGUUAAGUGGGAAACGAUGUGGGAAGGCUCAGACAGCUAGGAGGUUGGCUUAGAAGCAGCCAUCCUUUAAAGAAAGCGUAAUAGCUCACUAGUCGAGUCGGCCUGCGCGGAAGAUGUAACGGGGCUCAAACCAGGUGCCGAAGCUACGGGUAUGCCUGCAUCACUUAAGGCUAUUGGCUUGGCGGAGCGAAGCGACGCCCAAGCGCUCCCCGAACGUCGAGUCGGGUAGCAAGCGAGUAGGUUUAAGGAUGCAGGCAUGCGGUAGAGGAGCGUCGUGUACGCCGAUGAAGGUCCAUUGAGAAGUGGGCUGGAGGUAUCACGAGUGCGAAUGCUGACAUGAGUAACGACAAGGGAGGUGAAAAACCUCCCCGCCGGAAGACCAAGGGUUUCUGUUCGACGCUAAUCGGAGCAGAGUGAGUCGGCCCCUAAGGCGAGGCCGAAAGGCGUAGUCGAUGGGAAACGGGUCAAUAUUCCCGUACCUCACUGUAUUGCGAUGGGGGGACGAAGAAGGCUAGGUGAGCCAGGCGCUGGUUGUCCUGGUGAAAGUCGGUAGGCUGGAGAAUCAGGCAAAUCCGGUUCUCCCAGGCCGAGAGACGAGACGAACAGCCCCCGGGCUGGAAGUCAUCGAUGCCACGCUUCCAGGAAAAGCCUCUAAGCUUCAGAUACAGUGGGACCGUACCCCAAACCGACACAGGUGGUCAGGGUGAGAAUCCUAAGGCGCUUGAGAGAACUCGGGUGAAGGAACUAGGCAAAAUGGUGCCGUAACUUCGGGAGAAGGCACGCCGCCGUUACGUGAAGGCCCUCGCGGCCGGAGCGGAAGGCGGUCGAAGAUACCAGGUGGCUGCAACUGUUUAUUAAAAACACAGUACUCUGCAAACGCGUAAGCGGACGUAUAGGGUAUGACGCCUGCCCGGUGCCGGAAGGUUAAGUGAUGGUGUUAGCUUUGGCGAAGCUCCUGAUCGAAGCCCCGGUAAACGGCGGCCGUAACUAUAACGGUCCUAAGGUAGCGAAAUUCCUUGUCGGGUAAGUUCCGACCUGCACGAAUGGCGUAAUGAUGGCCACGCUGUCUCCACCCGAGACUCAGUGAAAUUGAAAUCGCCGUGAAGAUGCGGUGUACCCGCGGCUAGACGGAAAGACCCCGUGAACCUUUACUACAGCUUCACACUGGACGCUGAUGUUGCUUGUGUAGGAUAGCUGGGAGGCUUGGAACCCCGGACGCCAGUCCGGGGGGAGCCGACCUUGAAAUACCAGCCUGGCAUCAUUGGCGUUCUAACUCAGGUCCGUGAUCCGGAUCGAGGACCGUGUGUGGUGGGUAGUUUGACUGGGGCGGUCUCCUCCCAAAGGGUAACGGAGGAGCACGAAGGUACCCUCAGCACGGUUGGAAAUCGUGCAGUGAGUGCAAGAGCAUAAGGGUGCUUAACUGCGAGACAGACGCGUCGAGCAGGUACGAAAGUAGGUUCUAGUGAUCCGGUGGUUCUGUAUGGAAGGGCCAUCGCUCAACGGAUAAAAGGUACUCCGGGGAUAACAGGCUGAUACCGCCCAAGAGUUCACAUCGACGGCGGUGUUUGGCACCUCGAUGUCGGCUCAUCACAUCCUGGGGCUGAAGUCGGUCCCAAGGGUAUGGCUGUUCGCCAUUUAAAGUGGUACGCGAGCUGGGUUUAGAACGUCGUGAGACAGUUCGGUCCCUAUCUGCCGUGGGCGUUGGAGAUUUGAGAAGGGCUGCUCCUAGUACGAGAGGACCGGAGUGGACGCACCUCUGGUGUUCCGGUUGUCACGCCAGUGGCACUGCCGGGUAGCUAUGUGCGGACGGGAUAACCGCUGAAGGCAUCUAAGCGGGAAGCCCCCUUCAAGAUGAGAUCUCCCCGAGGCCU
rnacentral:rRNA from 1 species